GUCAGCAACCAUAAUACCUGCCGUUCAGACCAGAUAAUCCAUCUGAAGUUAGUCAGGUUUGGGCCUGGCCAGUACAUGUAUUAGAAGUCAACUAGGAAACAUGGGUUGCUGCUGGAA
rnacentral:rRNA from 1 species